CGGCCUCGGCGCGCUGGCUGGCGCGUUGGCUGGUGCGGCCAUUGGCCAUGAUAAUCGUGGCAAGGGCGCGCUGAUCGGCGCAGCGGUGGCCGG
rnacentral:tRNA from 2 species